GCCUGGGUGGCUCAGUCGGUUGAGCGUCCGACUUCGGCUCAGGUCACGAUCUCGCGGUUUGUGGGUUCGAGCCCCACGUCGGGCU
rnacentral:tRNA from 1 species